GUGGGGAAUAUUGCACAAUGGGGGAAACCCUGAUGCAGCGACGCCGCGUGAGCGAUGAAGUAUUUCGGUAUGUAAAGCUCUAUCAGCAGGGAAGAAAAUGACGGUACCUGACUAAGAAGCACCGGCUAAAUACGUGCCAGCAGCCGCGGUAAUACGUAUGGUGCAAGCGUUAUCCGGAUUUACUGGGUGUAAAGGGAGCGUAGACGGAGUGGCAAGUCUGAUGUGAAAACCCGGGGCUCAACCCCGGGACUGCAUUGGAAACUGUCAAUCUAGAGUACCGGAGAGGUAAGCGGAAUUCCUAGUGUAGCGGUGAAAUGCGUAGAUAUUAGGAAGAACACCAGUGGCGAAGGCGGCUUGCUGGACAGUAACUGACGUUCAGGCUCGAAAGCGUGGGGAGCAAACAGGAUUAGAUACCCCGGUAGUCC
rnacentral:rRNA from 1 species